GCUAAACUAUUACAGAUAUGACAUUAAAAUUUUGGAUGUGUUUGUUUAUCUGGUAGGUGAACAAGUGUGAUUUUUUUCAGAAUUUUCUGAGGGGGUCAUGUGGGGACCAUAGGUUGAAUUGCUGUGGAAUGACCCAUUUCUACAAAUAUUUAAUGA